CAUUCGAACAAACUCAGCUGGUGGGAAAUCAAUGACAGCACCCAUAACUGUAGAAGAGGUCCAUCAAUAUGGCGACUACAUCCGUCUUAAGAACAUUUCCUCUGAGGCAUUAAAUCUAGGAGGUUGGGAGUUAGUUCUACAGAUUAAUAACGGCAAACCAGGCAUAUGCAAAUUUAAGGAGUCAUUAAAACUUCAGGCUGGAGAGAUUCUCUGUAUAUCCCGCCAACGCUGGUUCAGAAACCAUCCUGAUGAUGUUAAUCUGGUGUGGUUGGACAUGAAGUACUGGAAUUCUACAGACAAACUGCAGAUCAACCUCACCAAAAACAAUGAGACUUUCAAACUGCUGUAAUGUGAAUAAACAUGAGAAACAUCAUUUUUUUUAUUCCUAAAUUAAUCAAA